rnacentral:tRNA from 1 species
GCCUGGCUGGCUCAGUCAGUAGAGCAUGUGACUCUUGAUCUUGAGGUUGUGAGUUCAAACCCCACCUUGGACA